rnacentral:rRNA from 1 species
AGUGAACGCUGGCGGUAGGCCUAACACAUGCAAGUCGAACGGCAGCACAGAAAGAGCUUGCUCUUACGGGUGGCGAGUGGCGGACGGGUGAGGAAAAACUCGGUAUCUACUUUUUCGUGGGGGAUAACGUAGGGAAACUUACGCUAAUACCGCAUACGACCUACGGGUGAAAGCAGGGGAUCUUCGGCCCUUGCGCGAUUCAAUGAGCCGAUGUCGGAUUAGCUAGUUGGCGGGGUAAAGGCCCACCAAGGCGACGAUCCGUAGCUGGUCUGAGAGGAUGAUCAGCCACACUGGAACUGAGACACGGUCCAGACUCCUACGGGAGGCAGCAGUGGGGAAUAUUGGACAAUGGGCGCAAGCCUGAUCCAGCCAUACCGCGUGGGUGAAGAAGGCCUUCGGGUUGUAAAGCCCUUUUGUUUGGAAAGAAAAGCAGCAGGUUAAUACCCCGCUGUUCUGACGGUACCCAAAGAAUAAGCACCGGCUAACUUCGUG